GACUUUGGCUACUGCCAUAGCUGGUCCUAACCUGGACAUUCUUCUCUGGCUACUUCUACUCUAACUUUUGCUUGGACCCUCAGCAGUUAGGCCUCCAGAUAAAAUAUGUCAGGUGCCAAGAAGUUCCAACCUCAAUUACUCUAUAACAAAAGGAAAAUUUGAAAAUAUAGCGUGGAUAAGUUUGCAAUUUUGACAAAUCACAUUGCAGCGCAGCAGAAGUUGCGUUCUCUAGUUGCCCCCUUAGUUCGAAUUGAAAUACUUGCUUAGAAAAGGUGUAACUGUUUGCAGGCAACAGUCCACUAUGCAGGAUAAGUGAGGCAAAUGGAAUGAGAUAAUUUAAGCAUUCAUAAGUUAUACCAGCCGACUGUUUGAUCUUUAAAUAUCUAAAUGUCUGAAAUGGAAAAUAUUUUAAUGACUCAUCAUAAAUUGUACUUGCAAAGUUAAUAUAGGGGGAACGUAAAAUGCAAGACUGCAGAGGGUUUACGUAGGGUAUUUUGUUUUUUCUGUAGUCAAUUCAGAAAUGUUACACGAUGAAGAAAUACUUUGGAGAAAUCUGCUAAAGAAAAACAGAAGUAUCCAAAACUUUUUCCAGCCACCAUAAAUCUAGGAAAAACAGUGUCUGCUAUUGAGAAAAAGACCGUUUCCACGAUUAGCAACCGAAAGUGGAAAGAGACCGUUAUGAAAAGUAAGCAAUCUAUCUGCCUUUGACCUCAUGCAAGCAGGUUUGUGUACUACCAGCAUUGAGCACCACUAUAGUGCAGCAACUCGAUCAUCUGCAGCAAAGCUUUUCUGCUGCAGAAACUGAAGCAAUAUAGAUCCUUGGUUGAAGUCUGAUGUAAAUACAGGAAGCUUUCCGCGAUGUAGACCUACACUGUCGGAAGACAGACUCCACGUUUCUUCUGUCUGUGGUGAUGGUACUUACCUAAUGAAUUGAAUUUGCUCUACAUCUCUGCCCAUUUCAUCUGUAGUUUGCAAGUAAUUCGUUUCCCCAGGAACACUGACAUUGCAGAGUAAGCAGCUUUCAA
rnacentral:lncRNA from 1 species